GACGAACGCUGGCGGCGUGCUUAACACAUGCAAGUCGAACGGAAAGGCCCUGCUUUUGUGGGGUGCUCGAGUGGCGAACGGGUGAGUAACACGUGAGUAACCUGCCCUUGACUUUGGGAUAACUUCAGGAAACUGGGGCUAAUACCGGGUAGGAGCUCCUGCUGCAUGGUGGGGGAUGGAAAGUUUCGGCGGUUGGGGAUGGACUCGCGGCUUAUCAGCUUGUUGGUGGGGUAGUGGCUUACCAAGUCUUUGACGGGUAGCCGGCCUGGGAGGGUGACCGGCCACAUUGGGCCUGAGAUACGGCCCAGACUCCUACGUGAGGCAGCAGUGGAGAAUAUUGCACAAUGGGCGGAAGCCUGAUGCAGCAACGCCGCGUGCGGGAUGACGGCCUUCGAGUUGUAAACCGCUUUCGCCUGUGACGAAGCGUGAGUGACGGUAAUGGGUAAAGAAGCACCGGCUAACUACGUG
rnacentral:rRNA from 1 species